rnacentral:rRNA from 1 species
CCCUUAGAUGUUCUGGGCCGCACGCGUGCUACACUGAGUGGAUCAGCGGGUUAGGUAACACGAAAGUGUAUCCUAAUCUUCAAAUCCGCUCGUGAUGGGGAUUGAUGGUUGCAAUUUUUUAUCAUGAACGAGGAAUACCUUGUAGGCGCGUGUCAUCAUCACGCGCCGAAUACGUCCCUGCCCUUUGUACACACCGCCCGUCGCUCCUACCGAUUGGGUGAGCCGAUGAAACUCUCGGAUGUAGGCUAUUCAUAGCCCGCAGAAGAGAUUUGAAUCGUAGCGCUUAGAGGAAGGAGAAGUCGUAACA